GAUGAACGCUAGCGGCAGGCCUAAUACAUGCAAGUCGAACGAGAUUAAGAGGCUUGCUUCUUAUGAAAGUGGCGCACGGGUGCGUAACGCGUAUGCAACCUACCUUAAUCAGGGGGAUAGCCCGAAGAAAUUCGGAUUAAGACCGCAUAAAAACACAGGAUAGCAUUAUCCAAUGUUCAAAUAUUUAUAGGAUUAAGAUGGGCAUGCGUGUCAUUAGCUAGUUGGCGGGGUAACGGCCCACCAAGGCGACGAUGACUAGGGGAUCUGAGAGGAUGACCCCCCACACUGGUACUGAGACACGGACCAGAAUCCGACGGAAGGCAGCAGUAAGGAAUAUUGGUCAAUGGAGGGAACUCUGAACCAGCCAUGCCGCGUGCAGGAAGACAGCCCUCUGGGUCGUAAACUGCUUUUAUUCGGGAAUAAACCUUUCUACGUGUAGGAAGCUGAAUGUACCGAAGGAAUAAGGAUCGGCUAACUCCGUG
rnacentral:rRNA from 1 species